UGUAACACCCAAAGUCGGUGGGGUAACCUUUUAGGAACCAGCCGCCUAAGGUGGGACAGAUGAUUAGGGUGAAGUCGUAACAAGGUAGCCGUAGGAGAACCUGCGGCUGGAUCACCUCCUUUCUAAGGAA
rnacentral:rRNA from 1 species